rnacentral:rRNA from 1 species
GACGAACGCUGGCGGCGUGCUUAACACAUGCAAGUCGAACGGUAAGGCCCUUCGGGGUACACGAGUGGCGAACGGGUGAGUAACACGUGGGUGAUCUGCCCUGCACUUCGGGAUAAGCCUGGGAAACUGGGUCUAAUACCGGAUAGGACUCCGGACUGCAUGGUCUGGGGUGGAAAGCUUUUGCGGUGUGGGAUGGGCCCGCGGCCUAUCAGCUUGUUGGUGGGGUGAUGGCCUACCAAGGCGACGACGGGUAGCCGGCCUGAGAGGGUGACCGGCAAACCGGGGACGGAGAUACGGCCCAGACUCCUAAGGGAGGCAGCAGUGGGGAAUAUUGCACAAUGGGCGCAAGCCUGAUGCAGCGACGCCGCGUGAGGGAUGACGGCCUUCGGGUUGUAAACCUCUUUCAGCACCGACGAAGCGCAAGUGACGGUAGGUGCAGAAGAAGGACCGGCCAACUACGUGCCAGCAGCCGCCGUAA